UGGCUCUGGCUUGCUCAGAAAAAGAAAAUGAAGAAAGAGAAGCAUUCUGUUCCGGGAGGCUGGGGAGCAAAAACAUUUUUUCAUGAAGCACCGUUCCCAGCAGAUUCCCUCCCAGGGGAUCCACCACUGGGCAGAUACAGAAAGCGGGCACCAGGCUGCGCUGCUCAGUGGUUUUCUCUGCUGGGGCCCAAGGACAAGAGUCUGAUGCAGAAAUGCACUUGGGAACAUGCUCCAGGCCAGAUUGCUGGACAUUGAUCAGAGCACGGAACUGAGAUGAGUCUGAUUGCUUCAUAGAGGCCAGAGUCACGUUGCCAAAGGGUCACAGCAACAUUCAGCCUCUAGGGGGAAAAUUGACCAGUAGCGUGGAAGGUAUGAGAAGUGGCUUCGGUAUGCAGUUCUACAGCAGUAAGGACAGAGAGGAGACCAAGAGCCUCCAAAGCUGCCCAUCCUCCGAUUCAGUGGGAGCCACUCUGGGGAUCAAAGGACCCAGGCCUGAAGCAUUCCCAUAUCUUCAUGGUUCUGAGAAUAUGGUGCCAGGGACUUCAGCCUGCCUGGGGAAUCCAGACUUGAAGCUUCUUGCUCAUCCAUCUGGAGACUUAUCACUUCAAUGAGCUGCUCUGUGAAGAGGAGAACGAGGCUUCAGCUACCAUCCUUCAAAGUCCAGCUUAAGCAUCUGCUGUUGGACAGCAGUGUCGCUUAGCUGUUUUUGAGGUUCUACAGCCAAACAAGAUUGGUCCGCAGGGAGAACUGCAGAUAAGAAGACCAAGUGCA
rnacentral:lncRNA from 1 species